UACGUAGGGCGCAAGCGUUGUCCGGAAUUAUUGGGCGUAAAGAGCUUGUAGGUGGCUUGUCGCGUCUGCCGUGAAAACCCGAGGCUCAACCUCGGGCGUGCGGUGGGUACGGGCAGGCUAGAGUGUGGUAGGGGAGACUGGAAUUCCUGGUGUAGCGGUGGAAUGCGCAGAUAUCAGGAGGAACACCGAUGGCGAAGGCAGGUCUCUGGGCCGUUACUGACGCUGAGGAGCGAAAGCAUGGGUAGCGAACAGGAUUAGAUACCCGCGUA
rnacentral:rRNA from 1 species